UGGGGAAUUUUGGACAAUGGGCGAAAGCCUGAUCCAGCAAUGCCGCGUGUGUGAAGAAGGCCUUCGGGUUGUAAAGCACUUUUGUCCGGAAAGAAAUCCUUGGCUCUAAUACAGUCGGGGGAUGACGGUACCGGAAGAAUAAGCACCGGCUAACUACGUGCCAGCAGCCGCGGUAAUACGUAGGGUGCAAGCGUUAAUCGGAAUUACUGGGCGUAAAGCGUGCGCAGGCGGUUUGCUAAGACCGAUGUGAAAUCCCCGGGCUCAACCUGGGAACUGCAUUGGUGACUGGCAGGCUAGAGUAUGGCAGAGGGGGGUUAGAAUUCCACGUGUAGCAGUGAAAUGCGUAGAGAUGUGGAGGAAUACCGAUGGCGAAGGCAGCCCCCCUGGGCCAAUACUGACGCUCAUGCACGAAAGCGUGGGGAGCAAACAGGAUUAGAUACCCUGGUAGUCCACGCCCUAAACGAUGUCAACUAGUUGUUGGGGAUUCAUUUCCUAGUAACGUAGCUAACGCGUGAAGUUGACCGCCUGGGGAGUACGGUCGCAAGAUUAAAACUCAAUGAAUUGACGGGGUCAUAGCUGUUUCCU
rnacentral:rRNA from 1 species